rnacentral:rRNA from 1 species
GCUGGCGGCAGGCUUAACACAUGCAAGUCGAGCGGACCUUUCGGGGUCAGCGGCGGACGGGUGAGUAACGCGUGGGAACGUGCCUUCUGGUUCGGAAUAACCCUGGGAAACUAGGGCUAAUACCGGAUACGCCCUUAUGGGGAAAGGUUUACUGCCGGAAGAUCGGCCCGCGUCUGAUUAGCUAGUUGGUGGGGUAACGGCCUACCAAGGCGACGAUCAGUAGCUGGUCUGAGAGGAUGAUCAGCCACACUGGGACUGAGACACGGCCCAGACUCCUACGGGAGGCAGCAGUGGGGAAUAUUGGACAAUGGGCGCAAGCCUGAUCCAGCCAUGCCGCGUGAGUGAUGAAGGCCUUAGGGUUGUAAAGCUCUUUUAUCCGGGACGAUAAUGACGGUACCGGAGGAAUAAGCCCCGGCUAACUUCGUGCCAGCAGCCGCGGUAAUACGAAGGGGGCUAGCGUUGCUCGGAAUCACUGGGCGUAAAGGGCGCGUAGGCGGCGUUUUAAGUCGGGGGUGAAAGCCUGUGGCUCAACCACAGAAUGGCCUUCGAUACUGGGACGCUUGAGUAUGGUAGAGGUUGGUGGAACUGCGAGUGUAGAGGUGAAAUUCGUAGAUAUUCGCAAGAACACCGGUGGCGAAGGCGGCCAACUGGACCAUUACUGACGCUGAGGCGCGAAAGCGUGGGGAGCAAACAGGAUU